UACAGAGGUCUCAAGCGUUGUUCGGAUUCAUUGGGCGUAAAGGGUGCGUAGGCGGCGCGGUAAGUCGGGUGUGAAAUCUUGGAGCUUAACUCCGAAACUGCAUUCGAUACUGCCGUGCUUGAGGACUGGAGAGGAGACUGGAAUUUACGGUGUAGCGGUGAAAUGCGUAGAUAUCAUAAGGAAGACCAGUGGCGAAGGCGGGUCUCUGGACAGUUCCUGACACUGAGGUGCGAAAGCGUGGGGAGCAAACAGG
rnacentral:rRNA from 1 species